rnacentral:rRNA from 1 species
CGGGAAUCUUCCGCAAUGGACGAAAGUCUGACGGAGCAACGCCGCGUGAGUGAUGAAGGUUUUCGGAUCGUAAAACUCUGUUGUUAGGGAAGAACAAGUACCGGAGUAACUGCCGGUACCUUGACGGUACCUAACCAGAAAGCCACGGCUAACUACGUGCCAGCAGCCGCGGUAAUACGUAGGUGGCAAGCGUUGUCCGGAAUUAUUGGGCGUAAAGCGCGCGCAGGCGGUUCUUUAAGUCUGAUGUGAAAGCCCACGGCUCAACCGUGGAGGGUCAUUGGAAACUGGGGAACUUGAGUGCAGAAGAGAAGAGCGGAAUUCCACGUGUAGCGGUGAAAUGCGUAGAGAUGUGGAGGAACACCAGUGGCGAAGGCGGCUCUUUGGUCUGUAACUGACGCUGAGGCGCGAAAGCGUGGGGAGCAAAC